AGCUUGUGGGAGCUGAGAACAGAGCUACUGUACCUUGGCAGUUCUGCUGGGUAGAUAUAUGGAGAGGUGUAGCCUCCCCACCCCCAGCCUGGAACCUGCUGGCUCAGGGGUGGAGUUUCCUGCUCUUUCGUUCUGCCACGCCCACUGCUGGACCGUGCACCUUUGCUGCUUGGAGCCACACACGUGUUCACCCUGCUACUGGACCCCGAGACCAGUUGGUGGGAAUCGGGUCCCCUCCCCCUUCCUUUAUAACUGAAUGUCGGAACUAGUAAAAUUGAGCUUUGAACAGGA
rnacentral:lncRNA from 1 species